rnacentral:rRNA from 1 species
UUCUGUAAGCCUGUGAAGGUGAGUUGAGAAGCUUGCUGGAGGUAUCAGAAGUGCGAAUGCUGACAUGAGUAACGACAAUGGGUGUGAAAAACACCCACGCCGAAAGACCAAGGGUUCCUGCGCAACGUUAAUCGACGCAGGGUUAGUCGGUUCCUAAGGCGAGGCUGAAAAGCGUAGUCGAUGGGAAACAGGUUAAUAUUCCUGUACUUCUGGUUACUGCGAUGGAGGGACGGAGAAGGCUAGGCCAGCUUGGCGUUGGUUGUCCAAGUUUAAGGUGGUAGGCUGAAAUCUUAGGUAAAUCCGGGGUUUCAAGGCCGAGAGCUGAUGACGAGUCGUCUUUUAGAUGACGAAGUGGUUGAUGCCAUGCUUCCAAGAAAAGCUUCUAAGCUUCAGGUAACCAGGAACCGUACCCCAAACCGACACAGGUGGUCGGGUAGAGAAUACCAAGGCGCUUGAGAGAACUCGGGUGAAGGAACUAGGCAAAAUGGCACCGUAACUUCGGGAGAAGGUGCGCCGGCUAGGGUGAAGGAUUUACUCCGUAAGCUCUGGCUGGUCGAAGAUACCAGGCCGCUGCGACUGUUUAUUAAAAACACAGCACUCUGCAAACACGAAAGUGGACG